AUGACUCCUAGGAAGAAGCGCAAGAGCGCGCCGCCGGUGUCCGUGGCCGUGAGCGCCACCGACCGCAUCGGCGCGCUCCCCGACAGUCUCCUCCAGCACGUGAUCUCCUUCCUCCCAGCGCAGGAGUCCGUCCGGACGUGCGUGCUCGCCCGGCGCUGGCGCCACCUUUGGAAGUCCACGAGAGCCCUGCGCAUCGUCGGCCUCGACGGCCGGGAGCCUGCCAGCGUCGAGGACCUCCGGGUGUUCGUGGACCAUCUGCUGAUGCUGCGCGAGCGCACCGACCUAGAAAGUGUCGAGAUGAUAUUCCACAGUUGCUCCGAAGGCGAGGUGCCCUAUGUGAGCCUAUGGACCCGUUUCGCCCUCAUGUGCAAAGUUCGGGCGCUAUCCCUCGAAAUCUCACAUGCCUAUUUCUACCAGGACGACCUGCCUCUUGCCUCUCAGUACCUGAAAACGUUGGACCUUUAUGGUCUAGGCCUGCAGAAGGCAUUUCUUGAUUUUUCUGGCUGUCCAGCGUUGGAGGAUCUGAAGAUGAGUGAGUGUAACAUCUCUGUCGAUAGGAUGUCAUCACCUUCCCUGAAGCAUUUGAGCAUCACUGGUUGCCUCUCUGAUUUGCGUGCCCGGCUCCGCAUUUCUACGCCGGGCCUUGUCUCUUUCAAGCUAGAUGACUUUUUCGGUAAAACCCCUUUUCUUGAAAACAUGGCGUUGCUACAGACUGCAUGUGUGAAUCUUGGCAAAAGCUUCAGCGAUGUCUGUAUGAAUUAUAACUCCGGUGUCUUCUGUGGAGAUAAUAAGAACGGAUGUGUCAAUUGUAUUUCACAUAACGAUGGCAGCAGCGAUUGCAUGCUUCUGGGUGGGAUCUCAAGUGCUAAACAUCUUGAACUGACAUCUGAAUCGAGCAAGCUCAUUUUCACAAGAGAUUUGAAAUGCUGCCCUACAUUUAGUAAGUUAAAGACUUUAUUACUCAACGAAUACUGGUGCGAGGCUCCAGACUUGGAUCCACUAGCUUGCAUUCUGAAAAAAACACCAGUUCUAGAGAAGCUCACUCUUCAACUUUAUUUAAAGGGACCAACUCAUAAAGUGGAAAUAAAAGGAAGCUACAGUCCAAUGGAGGGACCAUCUACAAUAUCAGAGCACCUUAACAUAGUUGAAGUCAAGUGUAAUGUGGUCGACGAGAAGAUUCUCAAAGUCUUGAAGUUCUUAUCUGCAUUUAACAUACGAUUUGGUUUUUUGUAA
rnacentral:rRNA from 1 species